AGCUGAGUUCUCAAUUUUUAACAUUGUGGGAUUCCUUUUGAAUCACCCUGAAUACAGUUUUUCUGUUCUUUACAUCUGUUGUUUCCUAAUAGGUAAUCGAUUACGUCACUUUGGGAGGGGGAGUGAAAAUGGGCAGUCACUCAGUGUCUGAAAAGAGAAAAUACACCCAAUACAGAGGCUAGUAAGGAGCACUUCCAGUGCACAAAGUUAAUGUCUUAACAGUUACUACAGACUUUAAGAAAAUACAUUUCAAAGGAAUAUGACUGACCAGACUUGAUGACUUUAUUAUGACCAACAAAAACACACACACUGCACUUCUGAGGGAAUCUAGUGAUGUUCAACACAUCACAAAAAGAAAGGAACACCAUUUCUUGAAGUGGAGGCAGCGCAAGCAAAAUAGAGGAGGGGUCUGCGUGACCUCCAUCAUCAAGCCAUCUAAUUUCAAAAACACAAUGGCAUCUACAGCCUCAAAGACAAACAACAGUCCUAUUUGGAAACGGACACAGACAAUUAAAGCUGGGAGCCAAGACAAAGAUGAUUUUCAGAUGUCCACUGUCCCAAAGAUAAUCAGCACUCCUACACAAAAGCAGACAACAUCAGUGGCAGCACAGGACCCGGAGACAGGAAGUCAAGACAAAGAUGCUUUGGAGCUAAAACUAUCAA